ACGUACACUCCUGCGGGAGGCAGCAGUGGGGAAUAUUGCACAAUGGGCGCAAGCCUGAUGCAGCCAUGCCGCGUGUAUGAAGAAGGCCUUCGGGUUGUAAAGUACUUUCAGCGGGGAGGAAGGCGAUAAGGUUAAUAACCUUGUUGAUUGACGUUACCCGCAGAAGAAGCACCGGCUAACUCCGUGCCAGCAGCCGCGGUAAUACGGAGGGUGCAAGCGUUAAUCGGAAUUACUGGGCGUAAAGCGCACGCAGGCGGUCUGUCAAGUCGGAUGUGAAAUCCCCGGGCUCAACCUGGGAACUGCAUUCGAAACUGGCAGGCUAGAGUCUUGUAGAGGGGGGUAGAAUUCCAGGUGUAGCGGUGAAAUGCGUAGAGAUCUGGAGGAAUACCGGUGGCGAAGGCGGCCCCCUGGACAAAGACUGACGCUCAGGUGCGAAAGCGUGGGGAGCAAACAGGAUUAGAUACCCCAGUAGUCCC
rnacentral:rRNA from 1 species